UGGAACGGGUCACGUGACAGGACUUUAUCCCCACCACCGCAGUCUGUCAGGCUGCCCACACAAAGAUCGGAUCCCUCCAGAGAUUUUGGCCAUGCACGAGAACGUCUUGAAGUGCCCAACACCAGGCUGCACUGGUCAGGGUCAUGUCAACAGCAACCGAAACACACAUCGCAGUUUGUCCGGAUGUCCCAUCGCUGCUGCCGAAAAGCUCUCGAAGACUCACGACAAGCAACACCUGCCCCAGCCCAUGGGCGAGCACAUCAAGGGCAGCCCAAACUCUGACCGUGUUCUCAGGUGAGGCCUAAACCCCAACGAAACAAACCCAGGAACUGAAAACAUCAGCGUUUAUUCCUGUUCUUCCCAGCAACAGCAAACUUGCCCCGUGUUCGGUCUCCUCCUGUCCUUCAGCUUCCAUGUCAGCAGUAUGUGUCCGUCAAACGUACCUGCUGUGGUUGGUUAGCACAGCUGUCAGUCACCGCAGGACUGAACUCACUUACCACAGCACGAUUGGUCAGGCGUUUCGGAAUGUCAGUCCUCCCGUUCCUUUGCCCUUCUAUUAGAGCACAGCCUGCCAUUUCAUGCUGGGAUCGGGCCUCAAACCUGCUAGUCUAAUUACGCCACUGAUAAGCUAAUUAUGGGAC